rnacentral:rRNA from 1 species
AUUGAACGCUGGCGGCAUGCCUUACACAUGCAAGUCGAACGGCAGCACGGGAGCAAUCCUGGUGGCGAGUGGCGAACGGGUGAGUAACAUAUCGGAACGUGCCCAGUCGUGGGGGAUAACGUAGCGAUAGCUACGCUAAUACCGCAUACGAUCUAUGGAUGAAAGCGGGGGAUCGCAAGACCUCGCGCGAUUGGAGCGGCCGAUAUCAGAUUAGGUAGUUGGUGAGGUAAAGGCUCACCAAGCCGACGAUCUGUAGCUGGUCUGAGAGGACGACCAGCCACACUGGGACUGAGACACGGCCCAGACUCCUACGGGAGGCAGCAGUGGGGAAUUUUGGACAAUGGGCGCAAGCUUGAUCCAGCAAUGCCGCGUGCAGGAUGAAGGCUUUCGGGUUGUAAACUGCUUUUGUACGGAACGAAACGGUGAGCUCUAAUACAGUUUGCUAAUGACGGUACCGUAAGAAUAAGCACCGGCUAACUACGUGCCAGCCGCCGCCGUAAAAC